rnacentral:rRNA from 1 species
AGAGUUUGAUCCUGGCUCAGAACCGAACGCUGGCGGCGUGCCUAACACAUGCAAGUCGAGCGCGAAUGGAGCAAUCCUAGUAGAGCGGCGCACGGGUGCGUAACACGUGGAUAAUCUGCCUGGGUGUCUGGGAUAACCAGUCGAAAGAUUGGCUAAUACCGGAUAAGCCCCCGGGAGCUUCGGCUCCUGAGGGAAAAGGUGGCCUCUGUAUACAAGCUAUCACAUCCAGAUGAGUCCGCGGCCCAUCAGCUAGUUGGCGGGGUAAUGGCCCACCAAGGCAACGACGGGUAGCUGGUCUGAGAGGACGAUCAGCCACACUGGAACUGAGACACGGUCCAGACUCCUACGGGAGGCAGCAGUGGGGAAUAUUGCACAAUGGGCGGAAGCCUGAUGCAGCGACGCCGCGUGAGGGAUGACGGCCUUCGGGUUGUAAACCUCUUUCAGCAGGGACGAAGCCGUGAGGUGACGGUACCUGCAGAAGAAGCGCCGGCCAACUACGUGCCAGCAGCCGCGGUAAGACGUAGGGCGCGAGCGUUGUCCGGAAUUAUUGGGCGUAAAGAGCUCGUAGGCGGCUUGUCGCGUCGACUGUGAAAACCCGCGGCUCAACCGCGGGCCUGCAGCCGAUACGGGCAGGCUAGAGUUCGGUAGGGGAGACUGGAAUUCCUGGUGUAGCGGUGAAAUGCGCAGAUAUCAGGAGGAACACCGAUGGCGAAGGCAGGUCUCUGGGCCGAUACUGACGCUGAGGAGCGAAAGCGUGGGGAGCGAACAGGAUUAGAUACCCCGGUAGUCC